rnacentral:rRNA from 1 species
UGGGAAUCUUGCACAAUGGGCGAAAGCCUGAUGCAGCAACGCCGCGUGCGGGAAGACAGCCCUAGGGUUGUAAACCGCUUUCAGCAGGGAAGAAACUGACGGUACCUGCAGAAGAAGAUGCGGCCAACUACGUGCCAGCAGCCGCGGUGACACGUAGGCAUCAAAGCGUUAUCCGGAUUUAUUGGGCGUAAAGAGCUCGUAGGCGGUUCGGUAAGUCGGGUGUGAAAACUCUGGGCUCAACCCAGAGAGGCCACUCGAUACUGCUGUGACUAGAGUGCGGUAGGGGAGCGGGGAAUUCCUGGUGUAGCGGUGAAAUGCGCAGAUAUCAGGAGGAACACCAGUGGCGAAGGCGCCGCUCUGGGCCGUAACUGACGCUGAGGAGCGAAAGCAUGGGUAGCAAACAGGAUUAGAUACCCUGGUAGUCCAUGCCGUAAACGUUGGGCACUAGGUG